CAAACAGUAAUUCAAAGGGGUUAUUAAGGAAAAACUAGCAAAUUUAUAAAAAAGGAGGGCACAAGUCCAAAAGCCACAAUUCACUGAAAGGUGAUCAAGUUUCAUUAGAUUUAUUUAAUGUUGACAAAGAAUGUAGGCGAUCCUAAGGGAAACCUUUAUAUUUAAACUUCCCGAAGUAAAACAUUUCAUUAGGGAAAGGAAAGGAAAUCAACCGAGACUCCGAAAGUAAUGGCGAGUGAAAUCGGACCAGCCUUUAAAUAAAAUAAAUUUAACAAAAAUACACACCAGAAACCAAAGAAGGUAAAAUAGUCCUGUAUGUUAAAUCUUUUUAAAAUUAAUGUUUAAAUAAGUAUUAUUAAAUUAAAAUUUAUUUAAAUAAUGAGUACGACGAGAGUGAACUUGUCGGAAUAUAGGGGAACCAUCCUCUAAGGCUAAGUAUUUAUAAAUUUAGCGAUAGUGAAAAGUACCGUGAGGGAAAGUUUGAAAAAGUUAUGUAUUUUUAGACAUAAAUGAAAUAGUUGAAUUAGUAACUCUAUAAGCAGUCGAAAUUUAUGAUUAUAAAUAACGGCGUACCUUUUGCAUAAUGGGUCAGCAAGUUAAUAGGAGUAGCAAGGUUCAAAGCCUUAGUGAAAGCGACCACACUAACUAGCUAAAAGUAUUCUUAGUUUCAUAGAUAUUAAGAAUAGGAUAUCCUUCAUAGUCAUAAGGCUAAGAAGUUAAAUAUUUUCUAGGUUAAUAGUGAUGGGUGAGUUACUUCUAUUAGACCCGAAGCUAGGUGAUCUUCCUAAGACCAGAUUAUAAUGGAUCGAACGGGUGAAUGUAGCAAAAUUCUCCGAAGAGUUUUAGGAAGCGGUGAAAUGCCAAUCUGACCUAGUGAUAGCUGGUUUUCUACGAAACAUAUGUAAGUAUGACAUCUAAACAAAAUUUAUGGUGGUACAGCACUGAGUUCCCAACUAUUUCUUUUUUAAAAAGAAAAGUUUAGGUUGCGGGGACGUCGAAAAUCUUACCAAUGGAAGAGAAUCUCGGAAUGACAUAAAUUGAUGUUAGAUAUUCAGACUGCUCAUGCGAAGUUGGGUAGUCAAGACGGAAACAGCCGAGAACACGAAACAAGGUCCCAAAUGAUUUUUAAGUGAAAUGAAGGAAGUAAUAUAUUGAAUGCAGCUGUAAAGUGAGCCUGGUAGUCGCUAUCUUUUAAUAAACGUAAUGUAACAACGUAGCAGCCUUAUACAACAGAAUAUUACACCAAAAAUUUAACGGGUCUCAAAAAAUCAACCGAUAUCGUGUUUAUUUUGAAUAAUAAAAAACAAAAUUAAUAUUCAAUAUAUAGGUAGUAGAACAUUCAGUAUACUGAUGAUAAAACAGUGUUUCAUUGUUUUUAGGUCACUGAAGAGAGAAUGCUGACAUGAGUAACGUAAAAAGAAGUUAUAAUACUUCUCGCCGAAUACGAAAGGGUUGUAAGGAAAGGUUAAACCACCUUAUGUUAAUGCGGCCUCUAAGGAACAAAACCAAAGUUUUGUCUGAUGAGUAUGAAUUAGAAAGUCCUGAAAAUUUUUAAAAUAAAAUAAAAUAAAAUAAAAGGGACCAGGAAAAGAAUAUAUUCUUAACUACCGUACCCUAAACCGACACAGGUUCGUAAGUAGAGAAUACUAAGGCGUAGAGCUAAAAGUUGUUAAGGAACUCGGCAAGUUCUCCUCAUAAGUUUGACGAUAAGAGGAACCCUUUAAAGGGUGGCACAAAAUCGGAGGCCCCGACUGUUUACUAAAAACACAAUUCAGAGCAAUGAUCAAAAAUCAUAGUAUUCUGGAUGAAAUUUGCCCAAUGCCAUUAACAUAAAAGAGGUUAUGGGUAACUGUAACUGAUUGAAAGUCUGGUUAAUAGCGGUCUUAACUAUGAGGAUCCAAAGGUAGCAAAAUAAAUUGGCCAUUAAAUGUGGUCUGGUAUCAAUAGUGUAACGAUGGUCUCACUGUCUCUACAACUUGCUCAGUGAAAUUGAAUUACCCGUGCAGAUGCGGGUUACCUCCAGGUGGACGGGAAGACCCUAUGCAGCUUUACUGUAGUUAGCUAUCAUAUUGAUCUACAACAACCUUAGUUAAUAGUAAUUAGGGAUGUCGAUUGACGAAAGAUGGAAUACCUUCUGACUUUGGUUGGGUUAAUAUUUACCUUUUUAAGUAAUAUAUCAUAUAUGACUCAAAAUUUUCUUUUGUUUAUUAUAUCUAGAUUCUGUUAUACAGAGUUAUAUGGUAUCAAGCUUAUAAGGGAUAGGUGGCUAAUUGGCAGUUUGACUGGGGCGGUCGUCUUUGAUAAAGUAGCAAAGUACAUCCAAAGAUAUUUAUUAUUAUAAGCAAUCUUUUUUAAAAAGAUACAAACUAAAAAUUCAUAGUAUCUGUAUAAACUAUGUUGAAUAUAAUUUAUUAUAUUUUUAUUAACUUAAGGUAUAGCUAGAAAAUUGAAUGGAAAUCAAUCAACCAGUGUGAAAGGUUGUAAUCGGCGUAAUGGCGGAAAGCAUGCCUAACUGAAAGACUUAGAAGUCGAACAGAUACGUAAGUAGGGCAUAGUGACCCUUCGCUAUAUUAUGGAAUAGACGGGGAUCAAUCGAUAAAAGUUACGCUAGGGAUAACAGGCUGAUAGCUGGUGAGAGUACACAUUGUCCCGGCUGUUUGGCACCUCGAUGUCGACUCAACCUAUCCUCCGGGGGUAGAAGCUUGGAAGGGUUCGGCUGUUCGCCGAUUAAAAGGUUACGCGAGUUGGGUUUAAUACGACGUGAGUCAGUAUGGUCCCUAUCUUCUGGAGGGAUAAAUAGUAAAAGGGGGCAGACCUUCUAGUACGAAAGGAUCAAUAGGCUGUGUUUCUCUAGUGUACCAAUUGUAAUACUCUAUUUUUUAAAAAUUAAAAAGAUUAAAGAAAGAUUAAAGCAUAGUUGGGUAGCCACAAACAUGAUAGAUAAGCGCUGAAUGAAUAUUAAGCAGGAAGCUAUCCCCUGGAUACUAUCUUAUUGAUUAUCUUUUUAAUUAAUAUUUUUAUUAAUUUUCUUUUUAAUCAAUGUGAAUAAGAAAUAGAACAUUUCUAAAUAGGAUGCAAAUGAAAGUGCUGUAA
rnacentral:rRNA from 1 species